AUGAAACUGGCUAACCUAAUGAGGGGUUAUAUAUUACAAGUAAAUCAGGGGGUAGGGAUAAUUAUUAAAUACAACAUUAAUGUAUAUGUCUUUGAGUGCAAUUUUUUUUCUUUUAUAAACCUGACAGUGAGAAAAGGAAGAAACGUCCAUGCUAAUUCAUCAUAUAUUCUAAUACACUUCAGCCACAGAAUAAAGAAACCAUGCCAGUUGCUGCUACUGCAGACAGAGAGCGAAGAAAUCCUCUACGAGCCCCAUGGGUUUACAGAAGUCUAUCCAUCACUCUGUCAGUCUUCCGGAUCAUUAUUCAAGUUGCUAUCCCCAAUUUUGCUGGAUAUAUCAGAUCAACUCCAGCUCCAUAGAUGGACAGUGUGUUUUCUUCCUAUUUUUAAAGACCGCAAAGAGGAAAACUGAUGAAUAUUAUAAGGACACACUGGAAAGUGCAUUGUUACUAUGGCAAUAAAAAAGAGAACAAAUGUCA
rnacentral:lncRNA from 1 species